AUACGUAGGGGGCUAGCGUUAUCCGGAAUUACUGGGCGUAAAGGGGGCGUAGGUGGUUUCUUAAGUCAGAAGUGAACGGCUACGGCUCAACCGGAGUAAGCUUUUGAAACUUAGAGACUUGAGUGCAGGAGUGGAGAGUAGAAUGCCUAGUGUAGCGGUGAAAUGCGUAGAUAUUAGGAGGAAUACCAGUUGCGAAGGCGGCUCUCUGGACCGUAACUGACACUGAGGCACGAAAGCGUGGGGAGCAAACAGGAUUAGAUACCCUGGUAGUCCACGCCGUAAACGAUGAGUACUAGCUGUCGGGGGUUACCCCCCUCGGUGGCGCAGCUAACGCAUUAAGUACUCCGCCUGGGAAGUACGCUCGCAAGAGUGAAACUCAAAUGAAUUGACGGGG
rnacentral:rRNA from 1 species